rnacentral:rRNA from 1 species
AUUGAACGCUGGCGGAAUGCUUUACACAUGCAAGUCGAACGGAAGCACGGACUUCGGUCUGGUGGCGAGUGGCGAACGGGUGAGUAAUGUAUCGGAACGUGCCCAGUCGUGGGGGAUAACGUAGUGAAAAUUACGCUAAUACCGCAUACGAUCUAUGGAUGAAAGCGGGGGAUCGCAAGACCUCGCGCGAUUGGAGCGGCCGAUAUCAGAUUAGGUAGUUGGUGGGGUAAAGGCCCACCAAGCCAACGAUCUGUAGCUGGUCUGAGAGGACGACCAGCCACACUGGAACUGAGACACGGUCCAGACUCCUACGGGAGGCAGCAGUGGGGAAUUUUGGACAAUGGGCGAAAGCCUGAUCCAGCCAUUCCGCGUGCAGGAUGAAGGCCCUCGGGUUGUAAACUGCUUUUGUACAGAACGAAAAGGUUUCUACUAAUACUAGGAGCUCAUGACGGUACUGUAAGAAUAAGUACCGGCUAACUACGUGCCAGCAGCCGCAGUAA